GCUCCCCGUCGUGCCUCGGGGCCACCUCCCACCCGUGUUGCCCGAACCUAUGUUGCCUCGGCGGGCCCCGCGCCCGCCGACGGCCCCCCUGAACGCUGUCUGAAGUUGCAGUCUGAGACCUAUAACGAAAUUAGUUAAAACUUUCAACAACGGAUCUCUUGGUUCCGGCAUCGAUGAAGAACGCAGCGAAAUGCGAUAACUAAUGUGAAUUGCAGAAUUCAGUGAAUCAUCGAGUCUUUGAACGCACAUUGCGCCCUCUGGUAUUCCGGAGGGCAUGCCUGUCCGAGCGUCAUUGCUGCCCUCAAGCCCGGCUUGUGUGUUGGGCCCCGUCCCCCCCGCCGGGGGGACGGGCCCGAAAGGCAGCGGCGGCACCGCGUCCGGUCCUCGAGCGUAUGGGGCUUCGUCACCCGCUCUAGUAGGCCCGGCCGGCGCCAGCCGACCCCCAACCUUUAAUUAUCUCAGGUUGACCUCGGAUCAGGUAGGGAUACCCGCUGAACUUAAGCAUAUCAAUAAGGCGGAGGAAAUCUCUGUUUAUUU
rnacentral:rRNA from 1 species